GAUGAACGCUGGCGGCGUGCCUAAUACAUGCAAGUCGAGCGAAGCGGGGACGGGUGAGUAACACGUGGAUAACCUCCUAUAAGACUGGGAUAACUUCGGGAAACUGGAGCUAAACCGGAUAAUUAGAGAUGGAUCCGCGCUGCAUUAGCUAGUUGGUAAGGUAACGGCUUACAAAGGCAACGAUGCAUAGCCGACCUGAGAGGGUGAUCGGCCACCCUGGAACUGCGACACGGUCCCGACCCCUACGGGAGGCCGCAGUAGGGAAUCUUCCGCAAUGGGCGAAAGCCUGACGGAGCAACGCCGCGUGAGUGAUGCAGGUCUUCGGAUCGUAAAACUCUGUUAUUAGGGAAGCGGUACCUAAUCAGAACGCCUCGGCUAACUACGUGCCAGCCGCCGCGGUAAUUC
rnacentral:rRNA from 1 species